rnacentral:lncRNA from 1 species
UAUCAUUAAUUGGAGACUGACAACAGACACUAUUUUCAGAAUGCAGCAUGAAUGGUCUAAAGAAGAAAAAAAAGUUGAAAAAGUUGACAAGUCUAUAUAUCGCUAUCACUGAUGCUGCCUCAAAGUCAAAUAAAAGUUUAACCAAAAUGGAUUUUAUGCAACUUAUUGGAAGAUUAAUUAGGCAUUCUUCUGACUGAUUCAAGAGAAAAUCCUCCAUUAUCGAUAUCGAUCAACGAUGGCUUAAUUAACUUCAAUCAACUGUUGUGUUUUUAUUUAUUUUGCAUUUUACAGUAAUUUUCUGUUUACUUAUAAUAUAUUAUAGAUUAUACUUUAC